rnacentral:rRNA from 1 species
AUUGAACGCUGGCGGCAUGAUUUACACAUGCAAGUCGAACGGUAACAGGCCGCAAGGUGCUGACGAGUGGCGAACGGGUGAGUAAUGCAUCGGAACGUGCCCAGUCGUGGGGGAUAACUACUCGAAAGAGUAGCUAAUACCGCAUACGAUCUAUGGAUGAAAGCGGGGGACCGUAAGGCCUCGCGCGAUUGGAGCGGCCGAUGUCAGAUUAGGUAGUUGGUGGGGUAAAGGCUCACCAAGCCAACGAUCUGUAGCUGGUCUGAGAGGACGACCAGCCACACUGGGACUGAGACACGGCCCAGACUCCUACGGGAGGCAGCAGUGGGGAAUUUUGGACAAUGGGCGCAAGCCUGAUCCAGCAAUGCCGCGUGCAGGAAGAAGGCCUUCGGGUUGUAAACUGCUUUUGUACGGAACGAAACGGCUCUGGUUAAUACCCGGGGCUAAUGACGGUACCGUAAGAAUAAGCACCGGCUAGCUACGUG